CCUACGGGUGGCUGCAGUGGGGAAUAUUGGACAAUGGGCGAAAGCCUGAUCCAGCCAUGCCGCGUGUGUGAAGAAGGCCUUCGGGUUGUAAAGCACUUUCAGUGGGGAAGAAAGCCUUGGGGCUAAUACCCUCGAGGAAGGACAUCACCCACAGAAGAAGCACCGGCUAACUCCGUGCCAGCAGCCGCGGUAAUACGGAGGGUGCGAGCAUUAAUCGGAAUUACUGGGCGUAAAGCGCGCGUAGGCGGUCUGAUAAGCCGGUUGUGAAAGCCCCGGGCUCAACCUGGGAACGGCAUCCGGAACUGUCAGGCUAGAGUGCAGGAGAGGAAGGUAGAAUUCCCGGUGUAGCAGUGAAAUGCGUAGAGAUCGGGAGGAAUACCAGUGGCGAAGGCGGCCUUCUGGACUGACACUGACGCUGAGGUGCGAAAGCGUGGGUAGCAAACAGGAUGAGAUACCCUAGUAGUC
rnacentral:rRNA from 1 species